AAGUAGGGCGAGGAAAAGAAAUCAACCGAGAUUCUGUGAGUAGUGGCGAGCGAAAGCGGAAGAGGCUAAACCAUAGGUAGCAAUACUUAUGGGGUUUCGGACAGCAUUUAGUAUUGAUAAUUUCUAGUUGAAACGUGUGGGAAAACGUACCGAAGAGUGUGAGAGUCACGUAAGCGAAAGAGAGAAUCAGCGAGCUGUAUCCAAAGUACCGCGGGACACGUGAAACCCCGUGGGAAGAUGGGGGGACCAUCCUCCAAGCCUAAAUACUACCUAAUGACCGAUAGCGAAUAGUACUGUGAAGGAACGGUGAAAAGAACCCCGGGAGGGGAGUGAAAAAGAACCUGAAACCCUAUGCUUACAAGCACCGAGAGCACGUCAAAGUGUGAUCGGGUACCUUUUGUAGAAUGGUCCGGCGAGUUAUUGUAUGCGGCAAGGUUAAGUGCUUAAGGCACGGAGCCGAAGCGAGAGCAAGUCUGAACAGGGCGAAAAAGUCGUAUGCAAUAGACCCGAAACCGAGUGACCUAUCCAUGUCCAGGCUGAAGUGGAGGUAAAACUCCAUGGAGGGCCGAACACACGUCCGUUGAAAAGGCCGGUGAUGAGGUGUGGAUAGCGGAGAAAUUCCAAUCGAACUCGGAUAUAGCUGGUUCUCUCCGAAAUAGCUUUAGGGCUAGCCUCGUGAAAGAUUACUGGAGGUAAAGCACUGAAUGGGCUAGGGGUCGAAAGAUUACUGAACCCUAUCAAACUAAGAAUGCCAGAUAAUUGAUUCACGGGAGUCAGACAAUGUGAGAUAAGUCUCAUUGUCAAAAGGGAAACAGCCCAGACCCACAGCUAAGGUCCCUAAACAUUGUUAAGUGGAAAAGGAUGUGGGGUUGCAUAAACAACCAGGAUGUUGGCUUAGAAGCAGCCACUCAUUAAAAGAGUGCGUAAUAGCUCACUGGUCGAGUGACCCUGCGCCGAAAAUUCAACGGGGCUAAACAAUGUACCGAAGCUUGGGAUUCUAGAUUUAUCUAGAGUGGUAGGAGAGCGUCGAAUAAGGGGUGAAGUCAGAGCGGAAGCGCUGGUGGACUUUAUUCGAGUGAGAAUGCCGGAAUGAGUAGCGAGAAUUAUGUGAGAAUCAUAAUGGCCGAAAAUCUAAGGUUUCCUGAGGAAGGUUCGUCCGCUCAGGGUAAGCCGGGGGCUAAGGCGAGGCGGAGACGCGUAGCCGAUGCACAUACGGUUGAAAUUCCGUAGCCACCGAAAGAUUUAAGUACAGGGACGCUUUAGAAGUGAUGUAGCCGGGCGAUGGUUGACCCGGUCGUAAGGGAUCGAAAAUGAGUAGAGAAGUCAUCAUGGAAAGAGACAAGAAAAGCUGUAUGAAUAUCUUAGGUGCCCGUACCGCAAACCGACACAGGUAGAUAGGAAGAAGAUUCUAAGGCCAACGGGAGAAGGGUUGUUAAGGAACUCGGCAAGUUGACCCCGUAACUUAGGGAUAAGGGGUGCUCAAGUGAUUGAGCCGCAGAGAAUAGGCCCAGGCGACUGUUUAGCAAAAACACAGGUCUCUGCUAAAUCGAAAGAUGACGUAUAGGGGCUGACACCUGCCCGGUGCCGGAAGGUUAAGAGGAGAUGUGAGAGCAUUGAAUUGAAGCCCCGGUAAACGGCGGCCGUAACUAUAACGGUCCUAAGGUAGCGAAAUUCCUUGUCAGGUAAGUUCUGACCCGCACGAAAGGUGUAACGAUCUGGGCACUGUCUCAACAACCCGCCCGGCGAAAUUGUAGUACCGGUGAAGAUGCCGGUUACCCGCGACUAGACGGAAAGACCCCAUGGAGCUUUACUGUAGCCUAAUAUUGGAUUUCGGUAUUUCACGUACAGGAUAGGUGGGAGACUGGGAAGCACAGGCGUCAGCUUGUGUGGAGUCGACCUUGGGAUACCACUCUUGGAGUGCUGGAAUUCUAACCUGCGGCUUUGAAGCAAGUCGGGGGACAUUGUUAGGUGGGCAGUUUGACUGGGGCGGUCGCCUCCUAAAGAGUAACGGAGGCGCUCAAAGGUUCGCUCUGCAUGGAUGGAAACCAUGCGUCAGAGUGUAAACGCAAAAGCGAGCCUAACUGCGAGAAUGACGGUUCGAGCAGUAACGAAAGUUGGAGUUAGUGAUCCGGCGGUAUGUGAAUGGAAAUGCCGUCGCUCAACGGAUAAAAGCUACCCUGGGGAUAACAGGCUGAUCUCCCCCAAGAGU
rnacentral:rRNA from 1 species